CCUACGGGAGGCAGCAGUGAGGAAUAUUGGUCAAUGGGCGCGAGCCUGAACCAGCCAAGUCGCGUGAGGGAUGAAGGUUCUAUGGAUCGUAAACCUCUUUUAUAAGGGAAUAAAGUGUGGGACGUGUCCUGUUUUGUAUGUACCUUAUGAAUAAGGAUCGGCUAACUCCGUGCCAGCAGCCGCGGUAAUACGGAGGAUCCGAGCGUUAUCCGGAUUUAUUGGGUUUAAAGGGUGCGUAGGCGGCCUUUUAAGUCAGCGGUGAAAGUCUGUGGCUCAACCAUAGAAUUGCCGUUGAAACUGGGAGGCUUGAGUAUGUUUGAGGCAGGCGGAAUGCGUGGUGUAGCGGUGAAAUGCUUAGAUAUCACGCAGAACCCCGAUUGCGAAGGCAGCCUGCCAAGCCAUGACUGACGCUGAUGCACGAAAGCGUGGGGAUCAAACAGGAUUAGAUACCCCAGUAGUC
rnacentral:rRNA from 1 species